rnacentral:lncRNA from 1 species
AAAAGAUUGCAGUCUUUUUCCAUUUUCUCAAAAUAGAAGUUCCUUCAAUACAAGACUCCCAGAAAGCAUGACUUACUGUUGGGGGCUGUACUAGUUUAUAAGCUUACUUCCUGCUUAUAACUUUCCCCAAACUGGCUUGUCCCAACAGGAAUCUAACAUCGUGUUAGAAAUUACUUCUGUGGUUUAGAUACAGAAUCCAUGAGAGGGUAGGGGGAGUGUCUUAUUCUAUCCUGAGAGUUCUGAGAUGUCCCUCACCCUACCAAGUAUUUGGCCAUUGAUGUUCCAUAGGUCGCUGACCAGGCCUUUUUAAAUGUUUCAGAGAGAAUUACUCAAGCCUUUCUAGUUAAUUUCCAUGUUUCUCCAUAAAGUAUUUGGUUCUAUCCUGGACC